rnacentral:rRNA from 1 species
AUUGAACGCUGGCGGCAGGCCUAACACAUGCAAGUCGAACGAGUGGCGGACGGGUGAGUAAUGUCUGGGAAACUGCCUGAUGGAGGGGGAUAACUACUGGAAACGUUAGCUAAUACCGCAUACCAUCGGAUGUGCCCAGAUGGGAUUAGCUAGUUGGUGGGGUAAAGGCUAACCUAGGCGACGAUCCCUAGCUGGUCUGAGAGGAUGACCAGCCACACUGGAACUGGGACACGGCCCAGACUCCUACGGGAGGCAGCAGUGGGGAAUAUUGCACAAUGGGCGAAAGCCUGAUGCAGCCAUGCCGCGUGUAUGAAGAAGGCCUUCGGGUUGUAAAGUACUUUUAGCGGGGAGGCGUUACCUGCAGAAGAAGCACCGGCUAACUACGUGCCAGCAGCCGCGGUAAUAC